rnacentral:rRNA from 1 species
GACGUAGGGCGCGAGCGUUGUCCGGAUUUAUUGGGCGUAAAGAGCUCGUAGGCGGCUUGUCGCGUCGACUGUGAAAACCCGCGGCUCAACUGCGGGCCUGCAGCCGAUACGGGCAGGCUAGAGUUCGGUAGGGGAGACUGGAAUUCCUGGUGUAGCGGUGAAAUGCGCAGAUAUCGGGAGGAACACCAGUGGCGAAGGCGGCUCACUGGACCGGUUCUGACGCUGAGGCGCGAAAGCGUGGGGAGCAAACGGG